rnacentral:rRNA from 1 species
UGUCUAUUAAUUGUAGACCUGUAUGAAAGGCAAAAUGAGGGUCUAACUGUCUCUUAUGGCAAAUCAAUUAAACUGAUCUCCUAGUACAAAAGCUAGAAUACCAACAUAAGACCAGAAGACCCUGUGAAGCUUUAAAAAACCUAUUAAAUCAAAUAAUAACUACUUUCGGUUGGGGCGACCUUGGAACAAAAAAGAACUUCCAACACAUGACUCCCUCAUAAAAUAGGCAAACAAGCCAACACCUGAUCCAGUACAACUGAUAAAUGAAACAAGUUACUCCAGGGAUAACAGCGCUAUCUUCUUCAAGAGCCCAUAUCAAAAAGAAGGUUUACGACCUCGAUGUUGGAUCAGGACACCCCAGUAAUGUACCCGUUACUAAAGGUUCGUUUGUUCAACGAUUAAUAGU